AACGAACGCUGGCGGCAUGCCUAACACAUGCAAGUCGAACGAGACCUUCGGGACUAGUGGCGCACGGGUGCGUAACGCGUGGGAACCUGCCCUUAGGUUCGGAAUAACUCCCCGAAAGGGGUGCUAAUACCGGAUAAUGUCUUCUGACCAAAGAUUUAUCGACCUUGGAUGGGCCCGAGUUGGAUUAGCUAGUUGGUAGGGUAAAAGCUUACCAAGGCGACGAUCCACAGCUUGUAUGAGAGGAUGAUUAGCGACACUUGGACUGAGACGCGGCCCAGACUCCUACGGGAGGCAGCAGUGGGGAAUAUUGGACAGUGGGCGAAAGCCUGAACCAGCAAGGCCGCGAGAGUGAUGAAGGUCUUAGGGUUGUAAAGCUCUUUUACCCGGGAUGAUAAUGACGGUACCGGGAGAAUAAGCUCCGGCUAACUCCGUG
rnacentral:rRNA from 1 species